rnacentral:rRNA from 1 species
UGAUCCUGGCUCAGAUUGAACGCUGGCGGCAGGCUUAACACAUGCAAGUUCGAGCGGAGAGAGGUAGCUUGCUACUGAUCUUAGCGGCGGACGGGUGAGUAAUACUUAGGAAUCUGGCUAUUAGUGGGGGACAACAUUUCGAAAGGGAUGCUAAUACCGCAUACGUCCUACGGGAGAAAGCAGGGGAUCUUCGGACCUUGCGCUAAUAGAUGAGCCUAAGUCGGAUUAGCUAGUUGGUGGGGUAAAGGCCUACCAAGGCGACGAUCUGUAGCGGGUCUGAGAGGAUGAUCCGCCACACUGGGACUGAGACACGGCCCAGACUCCUACGGGAGGCAGCAGUGGGGAAUAUUGGACAAUGGGGGGAACCCUGAUCCAGCCAUGCCGCGUGUGUGAAGAAGGCCUUAUGGUUGUAAAGCACUUUAAGCGAGGAGGAGGGUACUGGUAUUAAUACUACCAGGUACUGGACGUUACUCGCAGAAUAAGCACCGGCUAACUCUGUGCCAGCAGCCGCGGUAAUACAGAGGGUGCGAGCGUUAAUCGGAUUUACUGGGCGUAAAGCGUGCGUAGGCGGCUAAUUGAGUCGGAUGUGAAAUCCCCGAGCUUAACUUGGGAAUUGCAUUCGAUACUGGUUAGCUAGAGUGUGGGAGAGGAUGGUAGAAUUCCAGGUGUAGCGGUGAAAUGCGUAGAGAUCUGGAGGAAUACCGAUGGCGAAGGCAGCCAUCUGGCCUAACACUGACGCUGAGGUACGAAAGCAUG